rnacentral:rRNA from 1 species
CCUGGCUCAGAUUGAACGCUGGCGGUAUGCUUAACACAUGCAAGUCGAACGGCAGCAUUUUCUAGCUUGCUAGAGAGAUGGCGAGUGGCGGACGGGUGAGUAACGCGUAGGAAUAUGCCUUAAAGUGGGGGACAACUUGGGGAAACUCAAGCUAAUACCGCAUAAUUUCUUCGGAAAAAAGCUAGGGACCUUCGGGCCUGGCGCUUUAAGAUUAGCCU